rnacentral:rRNA from 1 species
CACGGAUAACAUACCGAAAGGUAUGCUAAUACGGGAUAAUAUAUUUGAGAGGCAUCUCUUAAAUAUCAAAGGUGAGCCAGUACAGGAUGGACCCGCGUCUGAUUAGCUAGUUGGUAAGGUAACGGCUUACCAAGGCAACGAUCAGUAGCCGACCUGAGAGGGUGAUCGGCCACAUUGGAACUGAGACACGGUCCAAACUCCUACGGGAGGCAGCAGUGGGGAAUAUUGCACAAUGGGCGAAAGCCUGAUGCAGCAACGCCGCGUGAGUGAUGAAGGCCUUCGGGCCGUAAAACUCUGUCCUCAAGGAAGAUAAUGACGGUACUUGAGGAGGAAGCCCCGGCUAACUACGUGCCAGCAGCCGCGGUAAUACGUAGGGGGCUAGCGUUAUCCGGAUUUACUGGGCGUAAAGGGUGCGUAGGCGGUCUUUCAAGUCAGGAGUGAAAGGCUACGGCUCAACCGUAGUAAGCUCUUGAAACUGGGAGACUUGAGUGCAGGAGAGGAGAGUGGAAUUCCUAGUGUAGCGGUGAAAUGCGUAGAUAUUAGGAGGAACACCAGUUGCGAAGGCGGCUCUCUGGACUGUAACUGACGCUGAGGCACGAAAGCGUGGGGAGCAAACAGGAUUAGAUACCCUGGUAGUCCACGCUGUAAACGAUGAGUACUAGGUGUCGGGGGUUACCCCCUUCGGUGCCGCAGCUAACG